rnacentral:rRNA from 1 species
AUUGAACGCUGGCGGCAUGCCUUACACAUGCAAGUCGAACGGUAACGGGCCUUCGGGUGCCGACGAGUGGCGAACGGGUGAGUAAUACAUCGGAACGUGCCCGAUCGUGGGGGAUAACGAGGCGAAAGCUUUGCUAACACCGCAUACGAUCUACGGAUGAAAGCAGGGGACCGCAAGGCCUUGCGCGGACGGAGCGGCCGAUGGCAGAUUAGGUAGUUGGUGGGAUAAAAGCUUACCAAGCCGACGAUCUGUAGCUGGUCUGAGAGGAUGAUCAGCCACACUGGGACUGAGACACGGCCCAGACUCCUACGGGAGGCAGCAGUGGGGAAUUUUGGACAAUGGGCGCAAGCCUGAUCCAGCCAUGCCGCGUGCAGGAUGAAGGCCUUCGGGUUGUAAACUGCUUUUGUACGGAACGAAAAGCCUUCUUUUAAUACAGGAGGGUCAUGACGGUACCGUAAGAAUAAGCACCGGCUAACUACGUG